CACCAGGGAGCCCUCAUUUGUGCCACUGCCCUGACCUCUCCAGCCCAGAUACUCCAAACCACAUGUCCAUCAUUUAAUGAGAGAUCUACAGCUCCUCUUCUAAGGAAGGUCCCUUAUGCUUUUCCAUAGGGUCUCCCUCUGUCACCCAGGCUGGAGUGCAGUGGCACAAUCUCCACUCACUGCAACCUCCACUUCCCAGGUUCAAGUGAUUCUCAUGCCUCAGCCUCCCGAGUAAUUGGGAUUACAGACUAACAAGAGAUGUCCCUGGGUGAGAGGAGGGAAGAAGGGGAAGAGACAUGCCAAAGGGUUGCAGAGAAGCCCAUGCUCCUUUUUAGUCUACAGUGUUGACAGCAAAACCCCAGGUGGAAAAGUUGGGUGGAGUGCAUGCCAGGCAGACAAAACCACAGGCAGCCUAACAUGGCAUAGCUAUGGCAGAGAAGAAGGAAUCCAGGAGGUUGGUGGCAGCUUUAGCAGUAAUCUCCAUAGAUGGAUGACCAAAGACCAGACCACCAAUCUGCACUCUGAAGACUCCACACCACAUAAGAGGAGGAUAAACUCAAAUCCGUGAAGUUAGGUUUUCCCCAGACUAAAAAAAGGGGUGCUCAGCAUGAAGUGAAGUUGACUUAUAAGCCAUAAAGACAUGUGACAUUUCCAACACACCUGAGUUGUGUGGGUGACUUAUUCUGGCACCAUACUCUUCCUGGAGGCAUCCAACCAUGCCCAGGUCUUUAUACACUGUUUAAUGCCAGAUCUAAAUCUCAAGUUUUG
rnacentral:lncRNA from 1 species